rnacentral:lncRNA from 1 species
UCCUAAUAAAAAGUAUAAGCACGGUGCUGGAGAUAUUUUCCAUUGGUUACCAUUAAAACGUAUAUAGUUGACAUAUUAUUGUAUAAUAUUAUGCGUACGUGCAUAUACAUAGCCACCGACAGCAUUCACAUACAAGCAUGUUUUCUCGAGCCAUGUUGGUACAUGAACAUGGACAUACACAUAUUCUUAGGAACAAAUAAGAAAGAUAAAUGGAGAAGGAAAACCCAAAGCAAUGUCAGAGUUGACAAAACUGCAAUGGCACUUUAUAUGUGGCCCAUCGUCAGUGAGCUGUUUAUGCCUUGCCGGACUCCUCGCAGCCUGGUGGCUUGAAGGCGAUGAAGCUGACGCACUGCACCUGACGCAUGUUGUCGAAUCCGAUGAUGCGGACAUACGCGUCAGGGUACUCCUUCUUGACCUCCUCCACCUCGUUGAGCACCUGUGUGGCGUCGGUGCAUCCGAACAUAGGCAGCUUCCACAUUGUCCAGUACCGGCCAUCGUAGUACCCAGGAGAUGCGUUGUGCUCACGGAAGAUGAACCCAACCUUGCUGAACUCGAGGCAAGGCACCCACUUGGAGCGGAUCAGGUAGUCGACCUGCUUAAGGAGGGCCUCCGUGCUGAGUGGUGGCAAGUAAGACAGGGUCUCGAACUUCUUGAUGCCCUCGAUGGGCCACACCUGCAAAUCAGAUUCACGUCUAUACAUUAAGAGACUAUAACUCUAGUUCUACACGUUUGAUUGUUCUUCUUGACAUCCGUCGGCUUAAAAAUGACUAGAAAGACAGAGACGAUGUUGUUUACCUGCAUGCACCUGAUCCUUCCACCGUUGCUGACGCUGCCGAGGCUAGCACCGUUCGAGCGGCGGCUGACGGGGAGGCCGGCGGGGGACUUGAGCCCCUGGAAAGGAGCGACGGAGGUGGCCGACGAGGCCAUCACGGUGGGGGCCAUAGCUGUACUAUGUAGGUAUAUAGCUUGCUAGAGGGAGGCACACUGGCUUGAGGACUGGUUCGUUGGGUCAGCAAGGCUUAUAUAACCCUUGGGCCCUUCCUGAACAAGAUGUGGAAGGAGUGGCUGCCGUUCGGCAGCGGCGAUAAGCCCCCGCGGAUCACCGCGUCCUGAUAAGGUCGGGAUAAACAACCACAUGUCUGCGCGCCUUAUCCUCUGCACCAUAGAAUCAACGGCCGUGUGCCCUGCUAGCUGCUGGCCCUACUCAUUGCUUGCUACUUGCA